UAGGGAAUCUUCCGCAAUGGGCGAAAGCCUGACGGAGCAACGCCGCGUGAGUGAUGAAGGUCUUCGGAUCGUAAAACUCUGUUAUUAGGGAAGAACAAAUGUGUAAGUAACUAUGCACGUCUUGACGGUACCUAAUCAGAAAGCCACGGCUAACUACGUGCCAGCAGCCGCGGUAAUACGUAGGUGGCAAGCGUUAUCCGGAAUUAUUGGGCGUAAAGCGCGCGUAGGCGGUUGUUUAAGUCUGAUGUGAAAGCCCACGGCUCAACCGUGGAGGGUCAUUGGAAACUGGAAAACUUGAGUGCAGAAGAGGAAAGUGGAAUUCCAUGUGUAGCGGUGAAAUGCGCAGAGAUAUGGAGGAACACCAGUGGCGAAGGCGACUUUCUGGUCUGUAACUGACGCUGAUGUGCGAAAGCGGGGGGAUCAAACAGG
rnacentral:rRNA from 1 species